GAUGAACGCUGGCGGCGUGCCUAAUACAUGCAAGUCGAGCGAACGGACGAGAAGCUUGCUUCUCUGAUGUUAGCGGCGGACGGGUGAGUAACACGUGGAUAACCUACCUAUAAGACUGGGAUAACUUCGGGAAACCGGAGCUAAUACCGGAUAAUAUUUUGAACCGCAUGGUUCAAAAGUGAAAGACGGUCUUGCUGUCACUUAUAGCUGGAUCCGCGCUGCAUUAGCUAGUUGGUAAGGUAACGGCUUACCAAGGCAACGAUGCAUAGCCGACCUGAGAGGGUGAUCGGCCACACUGGAACUGAGACGCGGUCCAGACUCCUACGGGAGGCAGCAGUAGGGAAUCGUCCGCAAUGGGCGAAAGCCUGACGGAGCAACGCCGCGUGAGUGAUGAAGGUCUUCGGAUCGUAAAACUCUGUUAUUAGGGAAGAACAUAUGUGUAAGUAACUGUGCACAUCUUGACGGUACCUAAUCAGAAAGCCACGGCUAACUACGUG
rnacentral:rRNA from 1 species